rnacentral:rRNA from 1 species
UACGAAGGGGGCUAGCGUUGCUCGGAAUCACUGGGCGUAAAGGGUGCGUAGGCGGGUCUUUAAGUCAGGGGUGAAAUCCUGGAGCUCAACCUCGGAACUGCCUUUGAUACUGGGGAUCUCGAGUCCGGGAGAGGUGAGUGGAACUGCGAGUGUAGAGGUGAAAUUCGUAGAUAUUCGCAAGAACACCAGUGGCGAAGGCGGCUCACUGGCCCGGAACUGACGCUGAGGUGCGAAAGCGUGGGGAGCAAACAGG